rnacentral:tRNA from 1 species
GAGACGCUAGUAAAAAGACAUUACAUUGCCUUGUCAAGGCAAAAUUGCAAGUUAAACCCUUGCGCAUCUUA